ACGCUCGACACCUACGGGAGGCAGCAGUGGGGAAUAUUGGGCAAUGGAGGCAACUCUGACCCAGCAACGCCGCGUGAAUGAUGAAGGUCUUCGGAUUGUAAAGUUCUGUGACGGGGGACGAACACAAUGACGGUACCCCGAUAGCAAGCCACGGCUAACUACGUGCUAGCAGCCGCGGUAAUCUGAGCGGGCUGGCAAGGC
rnacentral:rRNA from 1 species